rnacentral:rRNA from 1 species
CGCCAUUUAAAGUGGUACGCGAGCUGGGUUUAGAACGUCGUGAGACAGUUCGGUCCCUAUCUGCCGUGGGCGUUGGAUGUUUGAGAAGGGCUGCUCCUAGUACGAGAGGACCGGAGUGGACGCACCUCUGGUGUUCCGGUUGUCACGCCAGUGGCAUUGCCGGGUAGCUAUGUGCGGACGGGAUAACCGCUGAAAGCAUCUAAGCGGGAAGCCCCCUUCAAGAUGAGACAUCCCUGAGGCCUAGAGCCUCCUGAAGGGCCCAGCGAGACCAGCUGGUUGAUAGGCACGGUGUGGAAGCGCUGCAAGGUGUUGAGCUAACGUGUACUAAUGGCCCGUGAGGCUUGACCCUA